GCACCAACGGCCUCACCAAGCCCGCGGCCCUGGCCGCCGCGCCCGCCAAGCCGGGGGGCGCGGGCGGCUCCAAGAAGCUGGUCAUCAAGAACUUCCGAGACAGACCUCGGCUGCCCGACAACUACACGCAGGACACGUGGCGGAAGCUGCACGAGGCGGUGCGGGCCGUGCAGAGCAGCACCUCCAUCAGGUACAACCUCGAGGAGCUCUACCAGGCUGUGGAAAAUCUCUGUUCUCACAAAGUCUCCCCAAUGCUCUACAAGCAACUGCGUCAGGCCUGUGAAGACCACGUCCAGGCACAGAUCCUUCCGUUUAGAGAUGCCCCAGGUGGAACUCUGUCUUCACAACACCUGAGCUGCCCAGUGGUGUCAGAUUGACUGGUGUCA
rnacentral:lncRNA from 1 species